rnacentral:lncRNA from 1 species
AGUGGAAUUUGUUACGGCCCUGGCUGACCUCCGAGCAGAGGCUAGCUGUCCCAUCUGUCUGGACUACUUGAAAGACCCAGUGACCAUCAGCUGUGGGCAUAACUUCUGUCUCUCCUGCAUCAUUAUGUCCUGGAAGGAUCUACAUGAUAGUUUCCCCUGCCCUUUUUGCCACUUUUGCUGUCCAGAAAGGAAAUUUAUAAGCAAUCCCCAGCUGGGUAGUUUGACUGAAAUUGCUAAGCAACUCCAGAUAAGAAGCAAGAAGAGGAAGAGGCAGGAAGAGAAGCAUGUGUGUAAGAAGCAUAAUCAGGUUUUGACUUUCUUCUGUCAGAAAGACCUAGAGCUUUUAUGUCCAAGGUGCAGUUUGUCCACUGAUCACCAGCAUCACUGUGUUUGGCCCAUAAAGAAGGCUGCCUCCUAUCAUAGGAAAAAACUGGAGGAAUACAAUGCACCGUGGAAGGAGAGAGUGGAACUAAUUGAAAAAGUCAUAACUAUGCAAACCAGGAAAUCACUGGAACUGAAGAAAAAGGUAAAACAUAGGGCAGAAGAAGUCAAGUCUGAAUUUGAGCAACUUAGGUUAUUUCUCCAAAAUGAGCAAGAGACUGUUCUUAGGUAAUUACAAGAUGAAGAGAUGGAUAUUUUAGCACAACUAAAUGAAAGCCUAACAAAAUUUUCAGAUUAUACCUCCUCAUUAAAAUAUCUACUAAAGGAGGUAGAGAGCAUGUAUGUAAAGUCAGAACUGGAAUCACUGGCAAAUGUUAAGGAUAUCUGUCACAGAUAUAAAAAUUUAAAAUUCCCUGAACCUUUUUCAUUCAAAUUAAAAGAAUAUGGUUACCAUCUGCCUCCACAAUAUUCUGGCCUAGACAAAAUUAUCAAGCAAUUUCAAGUAUAGAUGUAAUACUAGAUCCUGAAACAGCACAUCCUGAACUUAUAGUCUCAGAAGAUAGAAAAACUGUGCAAUAUGAAAAUACAACACAAAAUGUACCUCAUAACCCAAGAAGAUUUUAUCUCUUCCCAGCUGUUCUGGAUUCUAAGGGAUAUAGUUGUGGCAGGCAGUACUGGGAAGUAGAAGUGAAAGACAAGCCUGAAUGGAUUCUUGGUGUCUGUAAUGACUGUCUUCCCAGAAGGAGGAAGAGUCAACCAAUAUUAGUACAGGAUGGAUUAUGGGGAAUUUGGAGAUCUAGUCAGAAUAAUUAUAUUGUAUUGGGCCACAAGGAAAUUAUUCUGCUGCCACAAGUAAUUCCUAGUAAGAUUGGCAUUUUUUUAGACUAUGAAAUGAAUGAAGUUUCCUUUUAUAAUUUGAAUGAUAGAUCUCUUCUCUAUACUUUUAAUGAUAACUUUACAGGAGCACUUUGGCCUUAUUUUUAUACUGGAACUGACUCAAAACCUCUUAAAAUUUCUACAGUAACAGAUUCUGAAUGA